GAUCUUUAUUACAGGUACCGUUGGUGACUUGUGGUUCUGCUGGUGACUUUAGGUUCAGACAACAGUAUUUCAGUUGACCUUGGGUUUCAAGUUGGAUUUGGGUUUUGAGUUUAGACCGAAGCUUCGACCUUGUGAUCAGAGAUGCACAACCAGCCAGUCCUGUCUGCAUCAUGUGCAUCAUAGCAUAUUUAUUUUUUCAAAAGAAACGCGAAAAAAAAAAAAGAUAAAAAAAGAAAAAAAAAGAAAAAAAACUAAUCCCUGCAUGCAUAUCAUUUCUCAGGUACAUUCCAGAGCU
rnacentral:lncRNA from 1 species